AAUCCAUGCAUCGGACAUUUCUAAAUUAACUCCUUAAAUCAUUCCCAAGCUUCAUAUAGCGUUUCACCCUCCAAUUUCUGCAAAGAUGUGAUGUCAUUUCUCAACUU
rfam:Gossypium raimondii Chr03_contig_622, whole genome shotgun sequence.